rnacentral:rRNA from 1 species
GAUGAACGCUGGCGGCGUGCCUAAUACAUGCAAGUCGAGCGAACAGACGAGGAGCUUGCUCCUCUGACGUUAGCGGCGGACGGGUGAGUAACACGUGGAUAACCUACCUAUAAGACUGGGAUAACUUCGGGAAACCGGAGCUAAUACCGGAUAAUAUAUUGAACCGCAUGGUUCAAUAGUGAAAGACGGUUUUGCUGUCACUUAUAGAUGGAUCCGCGCCGCAUUAGCUAGUUGGUAAGGUAACGGCUUACCAAGGCAACGAUGCGUAGCCGACCUGAGAGGGGAUAGGGCCAACGAGAAAUUAGGCACGGACCCGAGCCCUUAGGGGGGGCAGAGGGAGGGAAUUUUCGGAAAAGGGGGAAAGCCUGAGGAGGAACGGCGGGGGGGGUAUUGAGGUUUUUGGAGCGGAAAAACUUUUUUUUUGGGGAAAAAAAAUUGGGUAGGAAACGUUGCAGGUUUGAGGGUAACCUAUCAAAAAGGCCCGGGUAACUAAGUG